GACGAACGCUGGCGGCGUGCUUAACACAUGCGAGUCGAACGGAAAGGCCCCUUUGGGGGUACUCGAGUGGCGAACGGGUGAGUAACACGUGAGUAACCUGCCCUUGACUUCGGGAUAACUUCAGGAAACUGGGGCUAAUACCGGAUAGGAAUCCUUGCUGCAUGGUGGGGGUUGGGAAGCUUCGGCGGUUUUGGAUGGACUCGCGGCUUAUCAGCUUGUUGGUGGGGUAGUGGCUUACCAAGGCUUUGACGGGUAGCCGGCCUGAGAGGGCGACCGGCCACAUUGGGACUGAGAUACGGCCCAGACUCCUACGGGAGGCAGCAGUGGGGAAUAUUGCACAAUGGGCGGAAGCCUGAUGCAGCAACGCCGCGUGCGGGAUGACGGCCUUCGGGUUGUAAACCGCUUUCAGCAGGGGCGAAGCUUGUGGUGACGGUACCUGCAGAAGAAGCACCGGCUAACUACGUG
rnacentral:rRNA from 1 species